rnacentral:tRNA from 3 species
GGGCGUAUAGCUCAGAUGGUUAGAGUGCUACAUUGACAUUGUAGAGGUCCCAGGUUCAAUUCCUGGUACGCCCACCA